rnacentral:rRNA from 1 species
CACGCCAUAAACGAUGAAUGCUAGGUAUUGGGGUUACUCAGUGCCGACGUAAACACAAUAAGCAUUCCGCCUGGGGAGUACGUGCGCAAGCAUGAAACUCAAAGGAAUUGACGGGGACCCGCACAAGCAGCGGAGCAUGUGGUUUAAUUCGAAGCAACGCGAAGAACCUUACCAGGUCUUGACAUCUGCUUGCCCGAGGUAGAGAUACCUUCUUCCCUUCGGGGACAAGCAGACAGGUGG